GGGCACUUGGCGCAGUGGUAGCGCGCCCGCUUUGCAUUGUCAGUUCUUCUGACACGGAUUGCGGAUGGUCGUGGGUUCAAUCCCCACAGUGUCCA
rfam:Plicaturopsis crispa FD-325 SS-3 unplaced genomic scaffold PLICRscaffold_6, whole genome shotgun sequence.